GCAAAAACGUUCAUUGUGCUGAAAAUGCUUUGUAUAUCUGUUGUUGAUAUUUAAAAGGUAUAAAUAAGGUUUUUAAAUUUGGUUUAAAAGUCAACAUGUAGUGCACGUAUUUUAUGAGAGUAGGAACUGUAAAGGGA